AGCGGUGAGGAUUGGCAUCCCGUUUGGGUUCAUACCUCAAAUCGCGUUGGUUCGAUUCCAACCGCCGCUACCA
rnacentral:tRNA from 1 species